rnacentral:rRNA from 1 species
UACGUAGGGACCGAGCGUUGUCCCGAAUCAUUGGGCGUAAAGAGCGUGUAGGCGGCUAUUUAAGUCCUGCGUGAAAUCCUGCGGCUCAACCGCAGACGGUCGUGGGAAACUGGAUGGCUAGAGUGCGGGAGAGGAGAGUGGAAUUCCCGGUGUAGCGGUGAAAUGCGCAGAUAUCGGGAAGAACACCCGUGGCGAAGGCGGCUCUCUGGAACGCAACUGACGCUGAGACGCGAAAGCGUGGGGAGCAAACAGG